rnacentral:tRNA from 2 species
GCGGGAGUGGCGGAAUGGUAGACGCGUUGGUCUCAAACACCAAUGACUUCGCGGUCGUGCGGGUUCGAGUCCCGCCUCCCGCA